rnacentral:rRNA from 1 species
GUGAAGAGGGAAACAACCCAGACCGCCAGCUAAGGUCCCAAAGUCAUGGUUAAGUGGGAAACGAUGUGGGAAGGCCCAGACAGCCAGGAUGUUGGCUUAGAAGCAGCCAUCAUUUAAAGAAAGCGUAAUAGCUCACUGGUCGAGUCGGCCUGCGCGGAAGAUGUAACGGGGCUAAACCAUGCACCGAAGCUGCGGCAGCGACGUUUAUGCGUUGUUGGGUAGGGGAGCGUUCUGUAAGCCUGCGAAGGUGUACUGUGAGGUAUGCUGGAGGUAUCAGAAGUGCGAAUGCUGACAUAAGUAACGAUAAAGCGGGUGAAAAGCCCGCUCGCCGGAAGACCAAGGGUUCCUGUCCAACGUUAAUCGGGGCAGGGUGAGUCGACCCCUAAGGCGAGGCCGAAAGGCGUAGUCGAUGGGAAACAGGUUAAUAUUCCUGUACUUGGUGUUACUGCGAAGGGGGGACGGAGAAGGCUAUGUUGGCCGGGCGACGGUUGUCCCGGUUUAAGCGUGUAGGCUGGUUUUCCAGGCAAAUCCGGAAAAUCAAGGCUGAGGCGUGAUGACGAGGCACUACGGUGCUGAAGCAACAAAUGCCCUGCUUCCAGGAAAAGCCUCUAAGCAUCAGGUAACAUCAAAUCGUACCCCAAACCGACACAGGUGGUCAGGUAGAGAAUACCAAGGCGCUUGAGAGAACUCGGGUGAAGGAACUAGGCAAAAUGGUGCCGUAACUUCGGGAGAAGGCACGCUGAUAUGUAGGUGAAGUCCCU